rnacentral:rRNA from 1 species
CUCCGAAACAGCGUUAGGGCUAGCCUCAAGUGAUGAUGAUUGGAGAUAGAGCACAGUAUGGACGAGGGGCCCCGCUCGGGUUACCGAAUGCAGACAAACUCCGGAUGCCAAUUAAUAUAACGUGGGAGUCAGAACAUGGGUGAUAAGGUCCGUGUUCGAAAGGGAAACAGCCCAGACCAGCAGCUAAGGUCCCAAAAUAUAUGUUGAGUGGCAAAGGAUGUGGCGUUGCCCAGACAGCUAGGAUGUUGGC